rnacentral:rRNA from 1 species
CAGUCGCCGCGGGAAUACGGAGGGGGCUAGCGUUGUUCGGAAUUACUGGGCGUAAAGCGCACGUAGGCGGCUUGGUAAGUUAGAGGUGAAAGCCCGGAGCUCAACUCCGGAAUUGCCUUUAAGACUGCCGAGCUAGCAGGUGAGAGAGGUAAGUGGAAUUCCGAGUGUAGAGGUGAAAUUCGUAGAUAUUCGGAAGAACACCAGUGGCGAAAGCGGCUCACUGGACCAUAACUGACGCUGAGGCGCGAAAGCUAGGGGAGCAAACAGGAUUAGAUACCCGCGUAGUCCCUGUCUCUUAUAC